GUGGAUUAGAUACCCUGGUAGUCCACGCUGUAAACGAUGAUUACUAGGUGUAGGGGGUAACACCCCCCCUGUGCCGCAGCUAACGCAAUAAGUAAUCCGCCUGGGGAGUACGGUCGCAAGAUUGAAACUCAAAGGAAUUGACGGGGGCCCGCACAAGCAGCGGAGCAUGUGGUUUAAUUCGAAGCAACGCGAAGAACCUUACCAAGGCUUGACAUCCUCUGAUCGCCGUGGAAACACGGAAUCCCUUCGGGGCAGAGAGACAGGUGGUGCAUGGCCGUCGUCAGCU
rnacentral:rRNA from 1 species